rnacentral:lncRNA from 1 species
UGUUCCACCCAGAGUUGUAUUGGGCCUUGAUAGUGGGUUUAGUUACGUUAGACAGGGUCUGCGUGGAAUGCUUAUAAUGGAACUGAUUUAUAAAUGUGGCCCAGAUAUCACCAUCUUUAAAUGGAAGAACAAAUUUUUCCCCCUACUAAAGCAGGAGAAGACAGAACAAGUUUUUAGAAAGUGGUGGCACCUGAGCAGCAUGCAGCGAUACACUCGUCACGCUCGGUUCGUCGCGUCCGCCACAUCAUCACGUGGCUCUCACGUGUUUUACUAGAUUACACUAAAAAUGUUAUGACAUCGAAGCUGAUGUGUAAGAACAUGCACUUUGAUGAGCCAUGCAACUUGAAAUGUGUCUAGUGUUUACUCUCUCCAU